rnacentral:rRNA from 1 species
CCUACGGGAGGCUGCAGUGGGGAAUAUUGCACAAUGGGGGAAACCCUGAUGCAGCGACGCCGCGUGAGUGAAGAAGUAAUUCGUUAUGUAAAGCUCUAUCAGCAGGGAAGAAAAUGACGGUACCUGAGUAAGAAGCCCCGGCUAACUACGUGCCAGCAGCCGCGGUAAUAAGUAGGGGGCAAGCGUUAUCCGGAUUUACUGGGUGUAAAGGGAGCGUAGACGGCAGUGCAAGUCUGGAGUGAAAGGCGGGGGCUCAACCCCCGGACUGCUCUGGAAACUGUACGGCUGGAGUGCAGGAGAGGUAAGUGGAAUUCGUAGUGUAGCGGUGAAAUGCGUAGAUAUUAGGAGGAACACCAGUGGCGAAGGCGGCUUACUGGACUGUAACUGACGUUGAGGCUCGAAAGCGUGGGGAGCAAACAGGAUUAGAUACCCUUGUAGUC